rnacentral:lncRNA from 1 species
CUUCGCGUCACCACGGGAACGGCGGGGCGGGCGGGGCGUCCCGGACACAGCCCUCAGGGGGUCUGAGGGGUUGAGGGAUCUCCAGUGGGUUUGACAGGGCUCUGAGGGAUCUGCAGUGGGUUUGACAGGGCUCUGAGGGAUCUGCAGUGGGUUUGACAGGGCUCUGAGGGAUCUGCAGUGGGUUUGACAGGGCUCUGAGGGAUCUGCAGUGGGUUUGACAGGGCUCUGAGGGAUCUGCAGUGGGUUUGACAGGGCUCUGAGGGAUCUGCAGUGGGUUUGACAGGGCUCUGAGGGAUCUGCAGUGGGUUUGACAGGGCUCUGAGGGAUCUGCAGUGGGUUUGACAGGGCUCUGAGGGAUCUCCAGUGGGUUUGACAGGGCUCUGAGGGAUCUGCAGUGGGUUUGACAGGGCUCCAGAGACUCUGACGUGACUCAAUUGCUCUGGAAGGGCUCCAGAAGGUCUGAGGCGGCUCUGGGUCUCUGAGAGGGCUGCAAGCCCCAACCUGAUCUCCACACAAGGAAGAAAAUCCAUCUCCUUUUCCUGGCUUUAAUGUUUUGAAUUGCUGAUAAAAUAGAGGGACUGCAGAGUAACUUAAACAAGCAAUACAAUCUAGGGGGCAUAUAAGUCAGUUAGUCCCACACUAAUGAGGCACAUUUCAAAGUUAUUUGUCAUUUAGUGUAAAGUUUCAUGGCAUACUGCUGGGAUCCUCCACAGCCUCACCUGCUCCUCUCCUACUCACAGCAUUUCAACAUUACACUGUCCACGUGUCACUUACUUACAGAAAUUAGAUUAAAUUAUUCCAUCAAUCUGACUCUGUCCUUUCAAAAUCUAUGUCCUUAAGAUAAAUAGAAAUUUACAAAAUAAUUUUACAAUUUUACUCAACAGGAGAGGUCCAUGAAUAGUACCUGACGCCCUGAAUCACGCUUGUCUCACUUCCCCCCAGACCACCCCCACCAAACUGAGCGGUGUAUCACAGGGCCAGGAACACAGUAAUGACAGGACAGGGCCAUUCCCUCAGCCCCAGGUGUGCAUCAUCAGGGCCAAGUCGAAGAGAAGGGACAGUGCAUCUGUCAAGGCAAGCGGAUUUGGGGGCUGUGCUGAAGGUUACAGUAUUUAUCACCGUGGCAGAAUUUCAUCCGGAUCCUGGGAGCACUUUGCCUGGCACAGUGAUCUUUAUAGGUAUGACAGACCCACAUGGGCUGAGACAGCGCUCACCUGGCAGGUCCCACAUGGCAUCUGAGAGACGAGAUGGGUGUUCCAGCCAAGCUGUGUCCCAAAGAUUGGGCACCAAAGUUCCUCCAGCCAGGGGGGUCAGGACCAGAGCCAUCCACCCCCAGGAGCUCUGCAGCACUACAGGGACUGUCUGAGUGCUGUCAGUGCGGGAGAUGCUUGGUGUCCUUCUCAAGUGCUAUAAAUGAAUAGCCGAUUUGAUUAAUAAAAAGAAGAAAUUUAUUCUAUAAUCA